rnacentral:rRNA from 1 species
UACGUAGGGGGCUAGCGUUAUCCGGAAUUACUGGGCGUAAAGGGUGCGUAGGUGGUUUCUUAAGUCAGAGGUGAAAGGCUACGGCUCAACCGUAGUAAGCCUUUGAAACUGAGAAACUUGAGUGCAGGAGAGGAGAGUAGAAUUCCUAGUGUAGCGGUGAAAUGCGUAGAUAUUAGGAGGAAUACCAGGUUGCGAAGGCGGCUCUCUGGACUGUAACUGACACUGAGGCACGAAAGCGUGGGGAGCAAACAGG